GAUGAACGCUGGCGGCGUGCCUAAUACAUGCAAGUCGAGCGAACGGACGAGAAGCUUGCUUCUCUGAUGUUAGCGGCGGACGGGUGAGUAACACGUGGAUAACCUACCUAUAAGACUGGGAUAACUUCGGGAAACCGGAGCUAAUACCGGAUAAUAUUUUGAACCGCAUGGUUCAAAAGUGAAAGACGGUCUUGCUGUCACUUAUAGAUGGAUCCGCGCUGCAUUAGCUAGUUGGUAAGGUAACGGCUUACCAAGGCAACGAAGCAUAGCCGACCUGAGAGGGUGAUCGGCCACACUGGAACUGAGACACGGUCCAGACUCCUACGGGAGGCAGCAGUAGGGAAUCUUCCGCAAUGGGCGAAAGCCUGACGUAGCAACGCCGCGUGAGUGAUGAAGGUCUUCGGAUCGUAAAACUCUGUUAUUAGGGAAGAACAUAUGUGUAAGUAACUGUGCACAUCUUGACGGUACCUAAUCAGAAAGCCACGGCUAACUACGUG
rnacentral:rRNA from 1 species